rnacentral:lncRNA from 10 species
ACCUCCGCCUCCUGGAUUCAAGUAAUUCUCCUGUCUCAGCCUCUGGAAUAGCUGGGAUUACAGGCGCCCGCCACCAUGCCCGGCUAAUUUUUGUAUUUUUAGUGGAGACGAGGUUUCACCAUGUUGGCCAGGCUGGUCUCGAUCUCCUGACUUGAGGUGACCCACCCAUCUUGGCCUCCCAAAGUGCUGGGAUUACAGGUGUGAGCCACCCGUACCCAGCCAGUAGUUCCUUUUUAUUUGUAAGUGGUAUCCCACGUUUUGUUUAGCCAUUUACUCGAUGGGUAUUGGGGG